AUUAUUUCCUCGUCUUAGUUCGCAGUGAAUAGAACGCCGUUUCCAUUUCGUCCGAAACCAUGGCAGAUACAGCAACCACAACCCCAGCCAAGAAGAAGGUUACAAAGCCUAAGGUGCCAGCAGCGCACCCCAAGUACGUUGACAUGAUCAGGGGGCCGCCCUGGAAUCUUUGAAAGAGCGUGGCGGAUCUUCCAGACAAGCCAUUCUAAAGUACAUAAUGGCCAACUACAAAGUCGGCAACGACGUCAACUCAUCAACGCCACUUGAAAAUGGCUCUGAAGAACGGAAGUGAAGAAAGGUGAUCUGAAACAAGCCAAGGGCACAGGCGCCAGUGGCUCCUUCAAGCUUGGUGACAAGCCCAAGACUGAGAAGAAGCCAAAGGCCAAGAAAGUUGCCAAGCCUAAGGCAGCAAAACCCAAGAAGGCCGCAGCAGCAAAACCAAAGAAGGUAGCCGGAGAGAAAAAGACUGCAGAGAAGAAGAAGAAGUCCCCCAAGAAAGCAGCCGGACCGAAGAAGGUUAAGACUCCAAAGAAGAAGGCAGCAACUAAAUCCCCAAAGAAGGCAGCAGCCAAGCCAAAGAAGGUCAAGACACCUAAGAAGUCAGCUGCAAAGAAAGCCAAGACUCCCAAGAAGGCAGCAGCAAAGAAAUAAGCAAUUCCAGCAUCACUGCAGAUUGCUCACUUUAAAAAAAAAAAAAGCCCUUUUCAGGGCUACCCAUAUUUUUCGAAAAGAUGUCUCAAUUACAAAUAACAAAGAAACGUACAUGUGUGUGUGUGUGUGUGUGUGUGUGUGUCAUAAAUGUAAUAUUACAUGCUUGGGUGCAUAUCUAAUAAAACAUAGUUUUU
rnacentral:misc_RNA from 1 species